AGCGUUCCAUAAGGUCACGCAGGAGGAUACUGCUCAAAGCACACUCCAUGUACAGGCACAAGAAGACAUCGAUUGACUGGUCACUUAGCUGCUAUUAAGAAACCCCCUAUUUCUAAAUUGUCUUUUCCAUGGCUCUUUCAGAUCCAAACCAUGACAAACACACUUUCUGUCCUCAAUUAUUUGGACUUUCUGUUGAGCAAAGUGUUACCCAACAUCUCUCAAUCUAGCCACAACUAAGAGGUAUACCAGGAGUGAGAAGUGUGUGGGACAUCAUCUGAAGGUUGCCUGUGAAUUCAGCAUUCGAGUGACCAAGACACAACAUCAAAUAGAGACCUUCAGGCUAGUUCUUCAUGGAAUGAUACAAAACCCACCCGGACCAAGGAUACACUGAGAAAUCGGUCCAUAUUCUUCCAAAGCCUGUCUGAACUGUAUAUAAACCAAAGGAACCUUUUUGACAGUCCUGAUCAGAAUUAAGAAUUUGAAAUAAAAUGAGAUAACAUGAUUUUA